rnacentral:rRNA from 1 species
GAUGAACGCUGGCGGCGUGCCUAAUACAUGCAAGUCGAGCGAACGGACGAGAAGCUUGCUUCUCUGAUCUUAGCGGCGGACGGGUGAGUAACACGUGGAUAACCUACCUAUAAGACUGGGAUAACUUCGGGAAACCGGAGCUAAUACCGGAUGAUCUUUUGAACCGCAUGGUUCAAAAGUGAAAGACGGUCUUGCUUUCACUUAUAGAUGGAUCCGCGCUGCAUUAGCUAGUUGGUAAGGUAACGGCUUACCAAGGCAACGAUGCAUAGCCGACCGGAGAGGGUGAUCGGCCACACUGGAACUGGGACACGGUCCAGACUCCGACGGGAGGCAGCAGUAGGGAAUCUUCCGCAAUGGGCGAAAGCCUGACGGAGCAACGUCGCGUGAGUGAUGAAGGUCUUCGGAUCGUAAAACUCUGUUAUUAGGGAAGAACAUAUGUGUAAGUAACUGUGCACAUCUUGACGGUACCUAAUCAGAAGGCCACGGGUAACUACGUG